GAUGAACGCUGGCGGCGUGCCUAAUACAUGCAAGUCGAGCGAACGGACGAGAAGCUUGCUUCUCUGAUGUUAGCGGCGGACGGGUGAGUAACACGUGGAUAACCUACCUAUAAGACUGGGAUAACUUCGGGAAGCCGGAGCUAAUACCGGAUAAUAUUUUGAACCGCAUGGUUCAAAAGUGAAAGACGGUCUUGCUGUCACUUAUAGAUGGAUCCGCGCUGCAUUAGCUAGUUGGUAAGGUAACGGCUUACCAAGGCAACGAUGCAUAGCCGACCUGAGAGGGUGAUCGGCCACACUGGAACUGAGACACGGUCCAGACUCCGACGGGAGGCAGCAGUAGGGAAUCUUCCGCAAUGGGCGAAAGCCUGACGGAGCAACGCCGCGUGAGUGAUGAAGGUCUUCGGAUCGUAAAACUCUGUUAUUAGGGAAGAACAUAUGUGUAAGUAACUGUGCACAUCUUGACGGUACCUAAUCAGAAAGCCACGGCUAACUACGUG
rnacentral:rRNA from 1 species